CAGUAGGGCCUGGCUGAAGUUACUCUUGCAUUUACUGUACUGCCAAAUCCUUAACAUUCUAUGUGUUAUGUUCCAUAUCUAUGUGUUUCUCAUAAUGGAGAACAAAAUUAUAUGAAAUGAAUUAAAAAGGCAUAUAAAAUGUUUGUUUUGCACAUCAUUAAGAGGAAGAUGUCUACUAAUUUGUAAAAACAAUGUAUUGUUCUUCUCAGGAGACCAAACACUUCAAGUGUUAGGCCACAUGUUUAGUUGUCUUUCAAAAGCAGUACAGUAAGUCACCUUUUUCCCCCUUUUAUAAAAUCAAAAGUAGCUAUUUUCUGAAAGAAAAUGUUAAAAAGUGACUUAUACAACUAAAAACAUAUUAGCAGUGAGUUUCAUAAGCAUGUAUAGCGUUCUCUGCGAACAGACAUGAUGUACCACAGUUGAAGAUGUAGUUAUGGACGGUAGGAAUAUUUAUUGAGAUGUAGAUGUACAGACUACAGUACUUUUUAUGACAGUCUAGUUCGGGUUGGCCAGCGCUACUCCAGAAGUCACCUGUAGAUGUCGCCAAAAUCAUUACUCAACCAACACAUAAAGUAGCCUACGGGAUGUAAUUUUAAAGUUAGAAUAAAUUUACUCCUUAAACCUGUUAUCGGGUUUAUAUCGUUAUUUUUGGUUGUUAGAACUUAAGUUGAACACAAAGUGUCACCUGUAAUUUCUUCGCAUUUGAAUCAGAGAGGACAGUCAGAACGUCGCUGAUGUUUUAGCAUUGCAAAUUCAUCUGUGACUUUUAAAGUUACAGGGAAUAAGAGCAGGUUUGCAUAUGGGCGCCGCUCAUACACACUCGGAUACACCCAAUGUGUUCCCUGAGCAGGGAAUAAGUGCUGUCUGUAUCAACUGUGCGUUUAAUUAGCACAUUCCUUCUGCACUUGAAGUAGAUGUGCGCCGCUGGGCACGACAACACUCACUAAAGUGCUCGACUUCACUCCUGUCAGAGGAAGACACGAUGGGAUGCGCUUCUAGCACCCAGACCACAGCUCAAGACACAACACGACCCAACACCAAACAAGAUGGGAGCACAUCAGGAACAAGUAAUGAAAAUGGUGGUCCUGCAGCAGACAGUGAGACGAUUCCAGACCAAACCCAGGCUGAGGAAUCUCCACAGACAUGCAGUGCAGCUCCUGAUGCCUCAGAGGAAAUCCAGAGCUCUGAGGCUGCUGUAGCUCACAGUGAACCAGAAGCAGCUGCUGCUGAGGCCGUUACAUCUGACCAGCCUGCUGAACCCGAAUCCAGCCCCUCCACGACAGCUGAGAAUACCGACGAGGCAGCACCAAGUGAAAACACAACUGAGGCCCAGGCUGAAUCUUCCCCACCAGAGGAAGCACCUGCCUCUGGUGAAGAUGGUUAA
rnacentral:lncRNA from 1 species